rnacentral:rRNA from 1 species
GAUGAACGCUGGCGGCGUGCCUAAUACAUGCAAGUCGAGCGAACGGACGAGAAGCUUGCUUCUCUGAUGUUAGCGGCGGACGGGUGAGUAACACGUGGAUAACCUACCUAUAAGACUGGGAUAACUUCGGGAAACCGGAGCUAAUACCGGAUAAUAUUUUGAACCGCAUGGUUCAAAAGUGAAAGACGGUCUUGCUGUCACUUAUAGAUGGAUCCGCGCUGCAUUAGCUAGUUGGUAAGGUAACGGCUUACCAAGGCAACGAUGCAUAGCCGACCUGAGAGGGUGAUCGGCCACACUGGAACUGAGACACGGUCCAGACUCCUACGGGAGGCAGCAGUAGGGAAGCGUCCGCAAGGGGCGAAAGCCUGACGGAGCAGCGGCGCGUGAGUGAUGAAGGUCUUCGGAUCGGAAAACUCUGUUAUUAGGGAAGAACAUAUGUGUAAGUAACUGUGCACAUCUUGACGGUAGCUAAUCAGAAAGCCACGGCUAACUACGUG